CUGCGGAAGGAUCAUUACCGAGUGAGGGCCCUCUGGGUCCAACCUCCCACCCGUGUUUAUUUUACCUUGUUGCUUCGGCGGGCCCGCCUUAACUGGCCGCCGGGGGGCUCACGCCCCCGGGCCCGCGCCCGCCGAAGACACCCUCGAACUCUGUCUGAAGAUUGAAGUCUGAGUGAAAAUAUAAAUUAUUUAAAACUUUCAACAACGGAUCUCUUGGUUCCGGCAUCGAUGAAGAACGCAGCGAAAUGCGAUACGUAAUGUGAAUUGCAAAUUCAGUGAAUCAUCGAGUCUUUGAACGCACAUUGCGCCCCCUGGUAUUCCGGGGGGCAUGCCUGUCCGAGCGUCAUUGCUGCCCUCAAGCCCGGCUUGUGUGUUGGGCCCCGUCCUCCGAUCUCCGGGGGACGGGCCCGAAAGGCAGCGGCGGCACCGCGUCCGGUCCUCGAGCGUAUGGGGCUUUGUCACCCGCUCUGUAGGCCCGGCCGGCGCUUGCCGAUCAACCCAAAUUUUUAUCCAGGUUGACCUCGGAUCAGGUAGGGAUACCCGCUGAACUUAAGCAU
rnacentral:rRNA from 1 species